rnacentral:lncRNA from 1 species
GAGGAUAUGUUCAUAUCCUCUUAGAUAUAUUCAUAUCCUCCCAGAUACGAAGCUGAGAGGAAACUAUCUCAACAGUCACUACGUGUGAUAAGGAAGAUGAUGUCUGAUGUCUGCCUGGGAUGCACUGGAUGUAUUGUGCUGUUUCUGGGGUGGGGAAAAUAAUCAGAAGAAAAACGGGCAAAGGGAGGAUGAUGCAAACCUACUAGUCCUGGAGUUAUAAUGAAUCUUUCUGGUCUGGUUACAUUAAUGUAGAGGAGAAACAUUCUGCCUUCAGCCAGGCUGCAGUUUCCAUAAGGGUUGUUCCUCAUGUUUAGUAGCUGUGUUUUAUAGAUAAUCUAUGAUGCUUCAUUUUCAGUUCAAAAUAAACGUAAAUUAGAAGGAAAAGAGAGAGAGACAGAGUGAGAAUGUGCAGCAGAAAUUAGGCUGAUGCAAUCAUUUCCCGUUCUGAAACUGAUCGAGUAAGAUCAGGAUGCGGCUGGUUUAGUGAUCACCGUAAUUAGCACAAUUGACUGCUUGCAGAUGACUAAUCUUUCGGUUCAAGGGAAGUAAAUUAAGACUUAUAUAUUUUGGCUUUAUCCUAGCUCUACAGGUAAUGUAAGACAAAUGAUCUGUGAGUUCCUAAUACCAAAGAGGUUUGUGGAUUAUAAAAGAGCACAGAAUGCAGACACGGGGUAAAGUUAUGGAAAUACAAAUCUGGAUUCAUACGAAAUUUGAAACAAGACUUGAGCUUUGCAAAAGCCAAAUCAGCCUCCUUGAAUUUCCACUGGCCAGGUUUGAUGGAAAAUGUAAUUUUCUUGGAAAGCUUGAAGGCAAAUGGGACAAACCAUCUGGAAGAGGUGAGCAUUUGGCGGUGUGGGUUUUCUGGUCAUCUUUAGAUGCAUUAGCAUGCUAUUCUCCCUUCUUGUUGGACACCUAGCACCUUUCCAAAGAACGGGCAAAGAAUCUGGUGCUGUGUUCUGCACAGAGAUUUUGACUUGGCCCAAACUUAUCAGCUUCUGCCCAGGAAAGCACAGGCACAGCUUUGUUUCUGACUGUGUUGCAGACUUCACAUGUGUAAAAUGCACACCUGCUGUGUGUGUUAUGGACACUUUGCCCCAGUACAAACUUUAGAAACAUCCCACUGAAGCAGACAGGCAUGUAGCAGGGAGCCAGUGACAAGGGAUGUCACUGAAAGUCCACCUAGGAGGGUGAGUUUGAUCAGAUGGUCCAUAACUGGUCAACACUUCCACCUGGUUAGCUAUUGUGACCUACUCACACUGUGUAUAUGGGUGGUUUGGUUUAGGCUGAAUUCAAGGUGAUGAUUUUGAUGCAGAGACAGACAUUUACAGAGAUGUUGGUCAUAUCUGGGUCAGCAGCCUCUAAAACACUCUGCAACCCAAUCCAUGCAGAACUUCAGAGGAUGAGGCUGAUGUUGUUGGAACAGGAGAGGGAAAGCGACAUGAAGGGACAAAGCAGACCCAAGCAGUGAUACAACUCAGUCUCCUUUCCUGAAUGUACGAACCAGCACGAUACCUUUAUCUCCUUCGGAUCUGGAUACAGUUCAGGUUUCCUUUGCUGCAGUUCAGGCUCUCACUUUUUGCUUCUGCGUGCAAUAAAACACAAUGUUCUACUACUCUGUGAGCUUUU